AGCAUUGGUGAACCCAACAAGGUUUGGGUCUUUGGCAGAGUACACUGCUGCAGAUGAAAGAGUAUUGGCUCACAAACCCAAAAACCUGAGCUUUAUUGAAGCUGCUAGCCUUCCCUUGGCUAUUGAAACUGCCCAUGAAGGGCUUGAAAGAGCUGAACUUUCUGCUGGUAAAUCCGUCCUUGUUUUGGGAGGCGCUGGGGGUGUUGGAACACAUAUUAUUCAGGUACAUUCUGAUUUCAUUAUCUUCCUACUUGGUUAAAUUUCAACAUGUAAUACUAUUUUUGGCUUCAAACAUUUAAAUUAAGGAUGUGUACUUUAAUGUGAUGCAGCUUGCAAAGCAUGUUUAUGGGGCUUCCAAAGUAGCAGCUACUGCAAGCACUAAGAAACUGGAUUUGUUGAGAACCUUGGGUGCUGAUUUGGCUAUCGAUUACACCAAGGAGAACUUCGAGGACCUGCCAGAGAAAUUUGAUGUAGUGUAUGAUGCAGUUGGUAAGAAUCUUCUGCUCCCUCUUGUUGUCUGCAUAAGCUUUUUCUGUAGCUAGUACAGUUAUCUUUUCUGUGUUGAUCUUUCGUUUAUCACUGGAAACCUAAAUAGAACAACUGAUGAUGGAGAGGGUGUAGAAUUAUCAUGCAUGGAUAAUCUUAUAUGGAUAUAAUCAAACUGAUCGAACAUUUGAAUGUAUCUAUAGCAAAUUAGCAAUGAAUGAAUUAGAAGACUUUAGCGACUGAUGUUGUAUUUGUAAAACAAAAAUAGGGGAGACAGAUAAGGCUGUGAAGGCGGUGAAAGAAGGUGGGAAGGUUGUAACAAUAGUAGGUCCAGCAACGCCACCGGCUAUCCUUUUUGUGCUUACCUCUAAAGGGUCUGUGUUGGAGAAACUGAAGCCUUACUUGGAGAGUGGGAAGGUGAAGCCAGUUCUUGAUCCCACAAGUCCAUAUCCCUUUACUAAAGUUGUUGAAGCAUUUGGUUACCUUGAGAGUUCCAGAGCUACCGGAAAGGUGGUUGUGUAUCCCAUCCCAU
rnacentral:lncRNA from 1 species